UGCCCCAGUAACGGCGAGUGAAGCGGCAACAGCUCAAAUUUGAAAUCUGGCCCCCAGGGCCCCGAGUUGUAAUUUGCAGAGGAUGCUUUUGGCGCGGUGCCUUCCGAGUUCCCUGGAACGGGACGCCAUAGAGGGUGAGAGCCCCGUCUGGUCGGACGCCUAGCCUGUGUAAAGCUCCUUCGACGAGUCGAGUAGUUUGGGAAUGCUGCUCUAAAUGGGAGGUAUAUGUCUUCUAAAGCUAAAUACCGGCCAGAGACCGAUAGCGCACAAGUAGAGUGAUCGAAAGAUGAAAAGCACUUUGAAAAGAGGGUUAAAUAGUACGUGAAAUUGUUGAAAGGGAAGCGCUUGUGACCAGACUUGGGCCCGGUGGAUCAUCCAGCGUUCUCGCUGGUGCACUCCGCCGGGUUCAGGCCAGCAUCAGUUCGCCGCGGGGGAAAAAGGCUUCGGGAACGUGGCUCCUACGGGAGUGUUAUAGCCCGUUGCAUAAUACCCUGGGGCGGACUGAGGUUCGCGCUCCGCAAGGAUGCUGGCGUAAUGGUCAUCAGCGACCCGUCUUGAAACACGGACCAAGGAGUCGUCUUCGUAUGCGAGUGUUCGGGUGUAAAACCCCUACGCGUAAUGAAAGUGAACGCAGGUGAGAGCUUCGGCGCAUCAUCGACCGAUCCUGAUGUUCUCGGAUGGAUUUGAGUAAGAGCAUACGGGGCCGGACCCGAAAGAAGGUGAACUAUGCCUGUAUAGGGUGAAGCCAGAGGAAACUCUGGUGGAGGCUCGCAGCGGUUCUGACGUGCAAAUCGAUCGUCAAAUAUGGGCAUGGGGGGCGAAAGACUAAUCGA
rnacentral:rRNA from 1 species